rnacentral:rRNA from 1 species
UGGGGAAUAUUGGACAAUGGGCGAAAGCCUGAUCCAGACAUGCCGCGUGAGUGAUGAGGGCCCUAGGGUUGUAAAGCUCUUUUGUGCGGGAAGAUAAUGACGGUACCGCAAGAAUAAGCCCCGGCUAACUUCGUGCCUGCAGCCGCGGUAAUACGAAGGGGGCUAGCGUUGCUCGGAAUCACUGGGCGUAAAGGGUGCGUAGGCGGGUUUCUAAGUCAGGGGUGAAAGCCUGGAGCUCAACUCCAGAACUGCCUUUGAUACUGGAAGUCUUGAGUUCGGGAGAGGUGAGUGGAACUGCGAGUGUAGAGGUGAAAUUCGUAGAUAUUCGCAAGAACACCAGUGGCGAAGGCGGCUCACUGGCCCGAUACUGACGCUGAGGCACGAAAGCGUGGGGAGCAAACA